GACGAACGCUGGCGGCGUGCUUAACACAUGCAAGUCGAACGGGUCUGCCCUGUUUUUUGCGGGGUGGGUCAGUGGCGAACGGGUGAGUAACACGUGAGUAACCUGCCCCUCACUUCUGGAUAACCGCUUGAAAGGGUGGCUAAUACGGGGUGUUCUGGCUGUGCCGCAUGGUGUGGCUGGGAAAGAUUCACUUUUGUGGUGUUUUGGUGGGGGAUGGGCUCGCGGCCUAUCAGCUUGUUGGUGGGGUGAUGGCCUGCCAAGGCUUUGACGGGUAGCCGGCCUGAGAGGGUGGGCGGUCACACUGGGAUUGAGAUACGGCCCAGACUCCUGCGGGAGGCAGCAGUGGGGGGUAUUGCACAAUGGGCGGAAGCCUGAUGCAGCGACGUCGCGUGAGGGAUGGAGGCCUUCGGGUUGUGAACCUCUUUCGCCGGUGAAGAAGGUCCUGCUCUUUGUGGUGGGGUUGACGGUAGCCGGGUUAUGAAGCGCCGGCUAACUACGUG
rnacentral:rRNA from 1 species